rnacentral:rRNA from 2 species
CUGCGGCAGCUAUACAUGCAAGUCGAGCGAAUCGAUGGGAGCUUGCUCCCUGAGAUUAGCGGCGGACGGGUGAGUAACACGUGGGCAACCUGCCUAUAAGACUGGGAUAACUUCGGGAAACCGGAGCUAAUACCGGAUACGUUCUUUUCUCGCAUGAGAGAAGAUGGAAAGACGGUUUACGCUGUCACUUAUAGAUGGGCCCGCGGCGCAUUAGCUAGUUGGUGAGGUAAUGGCUCACCAAGGCGACGAUGCGUAGCCGACCUGAGAGGGUGAUCGGCCACACUGGGACUGAGACACGGCCCAGACUCCUACGGGAGGCAGCAGUAGGGAAUCUUCCGCAAUGGACGAAAGUCUGACGGAGCAACGCCGCGUGAACGAAGAAGGCCUUCGGGUCGUAAAGUUCUGUUGUUAGGGAAGAACAAGUACCAGAGUAACUGCUGGUACCUUGACGGUACCUAACCAGAAAGCCACGGCUAACUACGUGCCAGCAGCCGCGGUAAUACGUAGGUGGCAAGCGUUGUCCGGAAUUAUUGGGCGUAAAGCGCGCGCAGGUGGUUCCUUAAGUCUGAUGUGAAAGCCCACGGCUCAACCGUGGAGGGU